rnacentral:sRNA from 1 species
GUCAGGCAUGGUGGCGCACUCCUGUAAUUCCAGAGACUCAGGAGGCUGAGACAGGAGGAUUGCAAGUUCAAGGCUAGCCUGGGCAACUUAGAGAGACCCUGUCUCAC